UCGAUCUACAACGCGCCGACCACUGUGAGGUGCGGCCAUUACACGGCGAUGUCCGCGAGCGAAAGCACGCCACCGCUAGUGGCGACAUUCGAGACAAACGAAACCGUUAGUGAAAAGUACUGCAAGGUCAGGAAACACUUCGGCGGCCUGAGCGUCGGCCUGGCCAUAUUCGACGUGGAGUGCGAGGACUGGCAAGGAAAGUGCACCGCUCUGAAAACUCCGAUGCCGGGCACGAACAGAUUUCGCGACAUAGCCUCGUACGUAGCCAGCUGUGGCCAAUGUCACUGGCGACAAACUCCCUUGCACGUAAUCAUAGGACAUGAGCGCGCGUUUUCACGGCUGGCGACGAUCAGCUGGCGACGUCAUACGCGCGUCAAGUCCAUUGAAUAUCUUGAUGGGCAGUUGUCCAGUGGACACAAUAGCCCUCCGCGAGUGUACUGUGAAUUUUGCGUUGAUAAAUUUUACCGUAAUGUCAGA